rnacentral:rRNA from 1 species
ACCAACCGAAAGGGGCGCGACCGCCGUAGGAAGUAAGUUCAUGAUUGGGGUG